ensembl:miRNA
UUGUCCAAUUCUCUGAGCAAGGCUUAACGCCAAGGGGUUAAGGGUUUGCUUUGGAGUUAAGGGUUGCUUGGAGAAUUGGAGAA